GGAUUCUAUCAAAUAUUUGAGGCAAGUUGUUGCACCAUCUCUUCCUAUAUAUAUCUCCCAAAACAUAGCAUACAAAUACACAAGAAAAAUAAAAAAAUAAUAAUAUCAUUGUCUAUUGAGAUAUAGUAUACAAAAUGGAGAAGACAUCAAUUGUUAAUUUGCUCUCUCUUAUUGCCUUGUUAAUUUUGUUAGGUUCACCAUCACGUAUGGUAUCAGGACAUGUAUCUCAAAAGUGUCACGUUAAAGAAGAUUGUAAUCCUGCAUCGUGCAUCGAUGGUGGAAUUAUGAUUUGUUUCCAGCAAGUUUGUACGUGUGUAUGGUGGGAUCAUAAGGAAGGGCAAAAAAAUACAAUGAUUGUAUAAGCAUAUGUCCACAUAAAAAUGUAUUGGAUUUUUCUUUUGUAAUGAUUGUUAAAUCCAAAAUUAAGAUAUGUUUAAGGUAUACAAAAAAAUAUUUUAUCUUAUUAAA